UAUCAACAUCAUAAUCUUUUAACAGUUCCAACCACCGCCGUUGACGCAUGUUGAGCUCCUUCUGUGUAAACAGGUACUUCAAGCUCUUGUGGUCGGUAUAGAUCUCACAAUGGGCACCAUAUAAGUAGUGCCUCCAUAGCUUCAAGGCGAAAAUCACCGCCGCUAGCAUCAAAACAUGAAUGGGGUAGUUCUUUUCAUAGCUCUUCAGCUGACGGGACGCGUAGGCGAUUACCUUCCCGUUUUGCAUCAAUACACACCCCAACCCAAGAUAGGAGGCAUCACUGUAGACUACAAAGUCUUCGCCCUGCACCGGUAGAGCGAGCACCGGAGUCGAAGUCAAUCUUUGCUUCAACUCUUUAAAACUUCGGUCGCACUCUUCGCUCCAAACAAACUUGGUGCCUUUCUGGGUCAGGUGGGUAAGUGGAAUCACUAUCUUGGAAAAGCCUUCCACAAACCGCCUAUAAUAGCCCGCCAAGCCCACGAAGCUUCGAACCUCCAUGACAUUCGUCGGGCGCGGCCAAUCCUUGAUUGCCUCGACUUUCCUCGGGUCUACAGAAACUCCACCCGCAGAAAUCACAUGCCCUAAGAAGGCAACCUCGCGAAGCCAGAAGUCACACUUUUUCAGCUUAGCAUAUAGCUUCUCCUCCCGAAGGACUUGAAGCAAUAUUCUCAAAUGCUCGGCAUGUUCCUCGUCACUACGAGAAUAGACCAAUAUGUCGUCUAUGAAGACCACGACAAAUCGAUCCAAAUACUUCUGGAAGACACGGUUCAUUAAAUCCAUGAACGCCGCUGGAGCGUUCGUGAGUCCAAAUGGCAUGACCGUGAAUUCGUAGUGUCCAUACCGCGUACGAAUCGCAGUCUUCUGCACAUCCUCCGGCUUGAUUCUCAGUUGGUGAUAGCCGGAUUGCAAAUCUAUCUUUGAGUACACACACGACCCCUGCAACUGAUCGAACAAGUCAUCAAUUCGGGGCAGUGGGUACUUGUUCUUGAUCGUGACUCUGUUCAGUUCUCGAUAAUCCACGCAGAGUCAAAACGAUCCGUCCUUCUUCCGUACAAACAACACCCGGGCUCCCUACGGUGAUACACUUGGCCGGAUAAAUUACUUGUCGAGGAGGUCUUGCAGUUGGCUCCUCAACUCUUUCAAUUUUGCCGGCGCCAUUCGGUACGGAGCCUUCGAGAUCGGUGCGGUACAGGGAACCAAGUCUAUGACGAACUUGAUCUCCCGAUCCGGUAGUAUCCCCGGCAACUCCGUGGGAAAUACAUCCGGGAACUCCCGCACCACCGAUAGCUCCUCUAGGAUUGGGGCUACUCGUUCCACUUCCACAACAGUCGCUAAGAAUACCGUGCAACCACUGUUGACUAGCUUCCUUGCCCUUGUCGCCGACACCGUCGCGACAAAGCACGAGCUCUGACAAGCCCGAUAGGUGAAUUCUUCCUAUCCUCGCUCGCGGAAUGUGAUCACCCUGCUCUUGCAGUCGAUGGUUGCGUGAUAUUUCGAGAGCCAGUCCAUGCCCAGAAUGAUAUCAUAAGCCUCAAGCUUCGUGAGUUCCAGUGUCCGGAUAGGCAUAAUCCAGUCGCCUAUUUGCACGGGACACGACGCACACUCCGAGUAAGUGUUAAACGUCGACCCAGAGCCCUCCACUUGCCACUUGUCACUCGCUUCUAUAUGUAUGCCAUGCAUGCGUGCGAAUGAUCUACUUAUGAAUGAAUGCGUGGCUCCUGUAUCAAAUAAAGCCCUGGAGCGAACUCCGUUAAUUAAAACCAUACCUGCCACAAGGCGAUGCUCCUCCCCCUCCGCAGGUUCCUCAGCUUGGACCUGAGCGGCGAACACCCGUCCGCUCGGGGCCGAUCGCGUAACUUCAGGUUGACGCGGCCGUCGGUGGAGCUCCUCCAUAAUGAGCCGGAAUCGCCGGCGCCGAUGCAAUAGAGGGGGCAGGUGAGGCUCCUCCUCCCGGGCAAUCUCGAAUGAAGUGCCCGGGCUGCCCACACUUGUAGCACUUGCCUCGACCUAGUUCACAGCGCAAGACCGGAUGGUCUCCGCCGCAUGUCAUGCAUCGCCGGACUCCACCGCCCUUCUGUUGAGUGCGCGAAUACUUCGGGGGCUUCUUGUAAUGUGUCUGUCCCACCGAACUACCGCCACCUUGGCGUUUCUUGCCCUUGUCCUUAGACUCGGCCAAAGCCUCACGCUUCUCCCGAACGUGGGUGUCACGCCCCGCGACCGCCCGCCUAUUUGGCCGGGUCGCAGCGCCGCGAACAGAUCGCCGAACGGACAGGGUUUCCCCUGUACUGCGGACAGAGUCUCCCCUGUACGUUCAAGGCAUAGCAAUCAAUACAAUGUGCGAAGUUCCAACCAGGAACACAUUUCAAUCAAGAUUGCAUAAUGGAAGGUAUCAAACAACAUAAACACAUCCUAUAUUAUUACAUUCAUUCACAUUAGAUUCAUUUUACAUCACAAUUACAUAAUACAUUCUUUUUAGCUUCCAAAUACAAUCUAGCUUUAACAAUAUUAUUACAACUUGAUCCUUUUCAUUUUCUUGCAUCCCUAAGUAAGGCCGACUCAGGGUACCGCUAUCUCUGGUCUCGGUGGUAGGGCGCUAACUAUGGAGCUACGCCCUCGCCUCGCGCCGCCGCGCCGCUCACGUGCGAACCUGUAACACCCCAAAACCACGUGGGGUGAGAACCAACUCCAUGGUUCCCAGUGGGUACGGCCACCCAAGGGAAAAGCUCGACCAAUAGGUCCAAGGGAGGCAACUGCAAGUUAGUUCAAUAAACAGAUAGAUAUAUAUCUUGAUUAUGCAACGAAUAAAACCAUGCAUUGCCUCACGAAUGCAAUAAUGCAAUGCUAUAUGCAAAUCAUGCAAUAAUGCAACUAUGCAACCAACUAGUAGUUCAUUUGACACUACUUUCAAUUCUGCUAACCAUAGCUCAUCCAUUCGAUAUCUAAGGUUUCCUCUAUCUUAGAUUCUUGUCAAUCACCGUUUUAAUCAUAAAGUUUCAUCUACCUUUACAAGGCUAACCACCCGACUCGGUCUUGAGUCAAUCGUCUGCGGAGUACCGCACUAGAACCAGGCUCGAGGCGAUGGACGUCUCACAUACACCUCAGCCCUAAAUCCUCUCGACUAGGAUACCAAAUCCAUAACUCAUAAUGCAUACUUGUUGUACACUCAUUUGGCUAUGACCCAAUCUUACCGGUUAACCAUGUUAACCCCAAUAACUCACAACCAAAUCCCUUAAUAACGGGGGACUCGAACCUCCCUAGGGACCGUCAACUGGUGGGACUUUACCACGCCCAGUGGUGACCAACUCCGGAGCGCACCGCCCGAGGGGGAGCUACCUCCCUCAAGCCAAGACGUAACGUGAGUAUCGAUCCAAUCCUCAACUUGAGGAUUCAUAGCCACUCGUCACAAUGCCAAUGUCAUGAUAGGUCUCUACCUAUUUAAUCAUGCCACUCUCUAUGUCAACUUGGACCAAUGUCAAUAUGGUUAAACUAUGUUUAACAAUCACUUUCUUGAUGCCAAUCAUGUCUCUAUUGUCAUUGUCACCCUUGUUUACUAAUGUUCAAGUCCAACUCUCACAUUUACACAAUAAUAGGGUCCUAACAUACAUGAAUGACACCAGAAUAUAUAUGAUCAAUCACCACAAGUGUUUGCUAGGUUCAAGAUGCUAGGUUUAAUGCCACUCGAUCUAAUAUAUAUAUAGAUUGUCCACUAUGUUCCACAACAUGGCAAUAUGUCAUCAAGUAUGUUUUUCUAUUUAACAUAAUCCACAAUAUGUAAAUUCAUAAUAUAUCAUCAUGCACAUAUACCACUAGCAUCACAUGAUUUGUCAACAUACAUAUAGUCAUUAUCCAAAAUAGUCCAUACUUAGCAUCUCAUGCAUUCUUUUAGCACUUAAUUCAUUAUGCAUUACAUUUAGCAUAUUCUACAACAUGUCAUCAUACAUUCCUUUUAUGAUGUUCUUAUAAUGCUAACAUUCAUACGCCCUUUAUAUUAUGCAUUCAAAGCAUUAAUCAUAUGCAUUUAUCUAGCAUUUCUAUAGUAUGUUAACAUGCAUUCUUUUCACAUUCUUAUAUUAUGUCAAUAUGCAUCAAUAUGAAAUCUCAUUUCUUAGACAUAAAGGGCGACCUAGUCGCUUCGGUAAGCACAACCCACCUCAUUUCGCAUUCCGAUUGCUUGUCGACACUUGCAAUCGGCCUCCCGCGGCACCCGUAACCCGGUUUGGCCCGAUCUCUCACGCGACCACCCGAACGGCCUCCAAUUCACGAUCCGAAAAUUAAAGGUCUUCGGUUAUGUGCCACGAUGCUUCAAAUCCAUUUUCAUGAAUUUACGAUAUCGCCUCGGCCCUCCAGGCGAAAACGAAGCCUAAACGUCCAUUUCUUUAAUAACUUCGCAACGGCUCGACGAAUCGCCGAACCGUCUUCGCCAACGCGUUCGUUUACCUAGCAAUUAGGUUUACGGAGGGUCAAAUUAGAUCAAACCCUUAUAUUUUACAAAACCCCAUUCGGAGCCCUAAUAUGCAAUUAACCUCAAAAUAAUCCAAAAUUAAAUGGAUCAACAUGCUAACAAAGCUCAUUAGAGGCUAUUAGAACACUUAAAGCUAAGGAUUAAACCAAAUCCCAAAAGCUUACCUCAAUGUGAACGCCGCGACGAAAAUACGCCGCUCCAACGGGCGCACGAAAGCUCGAUCCGUCGCCUCCAACGCGUUCGCAAGCAUCUUCUCCACCAACCCUCCAAUUUUUAGAGAGAGAUUUAGAGAGAUGAGAGAGAUAUCUAGAGAGAGGUAGAGGUGUUUCUCUCUCUAUCUCCAUGAGUGUGCGUGUGUGUGUGGCGUGUGUGCGGCCGAAGGAGGAGGAAGAAGCAUCAGCUUCUUAAUAAUACCCCCAAGACACUAUUUUUCCCGGGCAGCUUGAAAUCUGAUAACUUUCGCCGGAACUCUCUGAACAUCCGUUUGAGCUCAAACUUGACAGUCAUGUUCGGUUUUACUUAACUUAACAAGCUGACGAUCGCUGGUUCAGUUUCGACCCCGUUUGGUCACUAAAAACUGUACCGAACUGUAAUCUUUAUCAGAUAGCUGUCGGAUUUUAUUUCUCACUCUACGGGUGUCAGAAAAAUAUGAAACUUUAAAUCUAGCCUCAUAAAAAUAUUUUUGACUUAUCCUCCAAUUUUCAUAAUUUUCUGAGACUGUGCAUUUUCUGCUAACUUAUCUGUCCCGUUUCCAACAGCAAAUUCUAGAUCUUCUAUUUUCAUUCCGAUUUCAGCACAAGUCAUUUCUGACUUAUGUAUUACUUCUCUAAAUCCAAUAAGAAUAGCUUCUCACACUAUUUUUAUUUAUUUUUAUUUUUAUACCAAAAUCCGGUAUGUUACAG
rnacentral:lncRNA from 1 species